GUCAGUUCCUCAUUCCACACAGGAUUCAAGUUGCUCCUGACUACACUUGUCUGGACAGUCUGUUGUCCAAGAGUCAUGACUACAUAAGGAUCGCUAGACAUCAUAUCCCUGAUAGCUAAGUUUGUUCCUUUAAUCACUUUGACCUUCAAUAAUCCAAUAUACUCUACCAUACCUUCCUGCGAUAGUGAUUUUUGUGAAGGAUUUGAACGAAAACUGUUCAUGAUCUUUGAAGAAAAGCUUGCUUGGAUAUUGCUUUUGUCAGAGUUGGAUGAUAAAAUUCUCAAGCUCGGUUUCAGAAAUUCUUGAAGUUCAUAUUUGGACCGAAUAAAUUUUGAACGUUGUUCAUGGGUAGCAUCUGGUCCAGGUUUUGAAUAUCCCUCAGGAAUAAAGGCUUCAUAAAUAGCAUUUGCAGAAGAAUUUCCUCCAACUUCUAUCAUGGCGUCAAUUUCAUCAUCAUUCCAUUCAUCCAACGUCACUGAUAACACCUUUGAUAUAUGUGAACCGAGGCUUCUGUGAACACCACAACAUUUCAAGCAUAUAAAAACUCCAAUAUUUGCUGACGCCCAUUUAGGAUCUGCAGCGCGACAAUCUGCACAAAAGCGAUUAUCCUUUAGAAGCAAUAGGUCCCUUAAUCUUCUUUUGCCUGAGCCAGGCCUCCCAAGUUCCAGUGUGCGAUUAUUCAUUGCUCCGCCAGUAAUCGACGAUCAUCCAACAAAUCCAGAUCGGUGCUUGAACAAAAUCGCUGAUGAGAAAUGGAGAAAAAAAGGGAUUGGGUCGGAAAAUCUGAAUCUUCAAUACCCUGAUGAUGUGGGUGAUUGAAAUUUGCAGAACUCUCUUCUUCCACCCUCC
rnacentral:misc_RNA from 1 species